UUUUGCUCAUAUUCGUUGACAAUUAAUAUCUUUUUUUCAUGCGAAUCCUGAUCCUAAGUUUAUCUUCUACUGCUGCUUCUGAGCGGUGCAAUCAUUCAUUUUCAUACUUAUUAAGGUGCUCCCCAAUACCUCAGCAACAGUUUGCAAAUAUGUACA